AUGGCCAGCGUGAGUUCUGGGUCGAGAGAUUGCCACCAGGGAGAGGCGAGCAUGGAAGCGGAAGCACGAGAGAUGUCCCGCCUUGCUACGAGAGCAGCCGACAUGUCCCGCCGCGCGGAAGUAGCAGCACAGAGGUCCCGCCGCGCCGCUGAAGCAGCAUGGAGGUCCCGCCGCGCCAUCGAUGCAGCAGACGGGUCCGGCCGCGCCGUGGAAGCAUCAGAGAUGUCCCGCUGCGCCAUGAAUGCAACAGAGAUGUCCCGCCGCGCCGCGUCGGCCUGGGGAAAUUUCUUGCGGGUAGGCGACGACUAUUACAGGCGCAUGCAUGCGAUCGUCCAUAGCCGGAUGGAUCAGAUCUCCGGCUCGGCGAGGUUGCAGGAUGACAUGAUAGGCUCGUUUGAACAGGCUACCAGCGUCAUCCGGCAACUAAGGGAGGGCAAUGAGAGGCUCUGGGCCAAGCGCGACCUACUGAGGGAGAAUAUCGUCCGAAGUGCAGACCUGCAGGAGGAGACCAGUGCCUUGUUGAAGAAACUUAUGGACGAGAAUGACAUGCUCCGCAACGAGUGCCAAAGGCUGGUGGAGGAAUCUGUGGAUGUUCUCAAGCAGCGUCUUGAGGACACGAAAGAGCUCAUCACCGCUCGCCGCGGAGACUAG
rnacentral:rRNA from 1 species